AGUAGUUGAUCAGUCGGCUACGAGGACGAACGCUGGCGGCGUGCUUAACACGAUGCAAGUCGAGCGGUAAGGCCUUUCGGGGGUACACGAGCGGCGAACGGGUGAGUAACACGUGAGUAAUCUGCCCUUCACUUCGGGAUAAGCACCGGAAACGGUGUCUAAUACUGGAUAUGAGCAUCCUGCGCAUGUGGGGUGUUGGAAAGUUUUUCGGUGGGGGAUGUGCUCGCGGCCUAUCAGCUUGUUGGUGAGGUAAUGGCUCACCAAGGCUUCGACGGGUAGCCGGCCUGAGAGGGUGACCGGUCACACUGGGACUGAGACACGGCCCAGACUCCUACGGGAGGCAGCAGUGGGGAAUAUUGGACAAUGGGCGGAAGCCUGAUCCAGCAACGCCGCGUGAGGGAUGACGGCCUUCGGGUUGUAAACCUCUUUCAGUACUGACGAAGCGCAAGUGACGGUAGGUACAGAAGAAGCACCGGCCAACUACGUG
rnacentral:rRNA from 1 species